rnacentral:misc_RNA from 1 species
AAGUCGUAACAAGGUUUCCGUAGGUGAACCUGCGGAAGGAUCAUUAGUGAAUGUCUUCGGACUUUACCCUUCAAACCGUGUGAACCAUGGCCCGCGGGCCGUUUUUCCAAACACUGUGUAAUGAACGUCCUAUGUAUAACAAUUAAAA